CAAACUCACAAACACGUGAGAUCAUGACCUGAGCUGAAGCCGGAUGCUUAACCGACUGAGCCACCCAGGCGCCCCUGUAAUUGUUUGAUUUAAAAAAAAACACACACAUUCAAGUCCUGGUUAUAGGAGUGCAGACAACAUACGUGAAUCUAGCAUUACCCGGACCCUUCACGUUCACGCAGCCUGCAUGCAUGUGCACACCUCUGAUGUACCUAGAAGAGUGGCUGUGUCAGGGUUACCUCUGAGCCCUGGGAAGACAGGACUGAAGAAAGGUGAUCUGGAAUCAGUCUUACAUACAAUGUGGUUCAAGUCACUGGUGUUGCUUUAAAGGACAGGUUACAAUAGAAAUACAUCUUGGAAACAAGCCAUCACACUUUGCUGCACAGCUGGAUCCCAUUGUGCUCCUCAUAUGGAUGUGUUCAAGCAGAGUGUGGAUGACGAUUUGGCUGAGAUGUUCUAGAAGAACUUAAGUUCAGAUGGGAUUACCUUUUGCAGAACUCUGGGAUCUAGUAAAAAAAAUGGCAAUGACAGGGGAAAGAUUAAUGAAGAAUGAUGCUGUUACAUGGCGGUAACAUGGGGCUGGGGCAUUCAAGUUGCCCACCCGUCAUCUCCCACCUCUCCGACUGGUGGUAGCCAUGAAGAUAACAACCUACACCAUCGAUGCAGAAUCAGUGAAGAAUUUCUUUUCACGUUCCACCCCAGCAGAGGCUGCUGAGCCAAGACUCUGAACGAAAUGAAGAGAAAGUGCAUACACAGCAGGCACAAGACUGGAAAAAGGAGCUAAGAUGUUUGAUUCCAAAUCAAUGGGAGGAAUCUGCUAUGACGUGUAAUAAGUUUGAGUACACUCUAAAGGGGUAGAACCUAUCACGAGUGAAAAGUCACAAUUCGUAUGGUAAAAUCAUAUGUUCACAAUAAAUACGGUCAGUUCCUCUUACUAGCAUGCAAUAAUUAGUUCAUAUACUCUUUAG